AUUGCCUUAGUAACGGCGAGUGAAGCGGCAAUAGCUCAAAUUUGAAAGCUGGCCCCUUUGGGGUCCGCGUUGUAAUUUGUAGAGGAUGAUUCGGCGAGGGCUCCCGUCUAAGUCCCCUGGAACGGGGCGUCAUAGAGGGUGAGAAUCCCGUAUGUGAUGGGUUGCCUUAGCCAUGUGAAUCUCCUUCGACGAGUCGAGUUGUUUGGGAAUGCAGCUCUAAAUGGGAGGUAAAUUUCUUCUAAAGCUAAAUACCGGCCAGAGACCGAUAGCGCACAAGUAGAGUGAUCGAAAGAUGAAAAGCACUUUGGAAAGAGAGUUAAAAAGUACGUGAAAUUGUUGAAAGGGAAGCGCUUGCAGCCAGACUUGUCCGCAGUUGCUCAGCCGGUCUCCUGACCGGCGUACUCUUCUGCGGCCAGGCCAGCAUCAGUUCGGGCGGUCGGAUAAAGACCUCGGGAAUGUAGCUCCUCUCGGGGAGUGUUAUAGCCCGGGGUGGAAUGCGGCCAGCCUGGACUGAGGAUCUCGCUUCGGCUAGGAUGCUGGCGUAAUGGCUGUAAGCGGCCCGUCUUGAAACACGGACCAAGGAGUCUAACAUCUAUGCGAGUGUUUGGGUGUCAAACCCAUACGCGUAAUGAAAGUGAACGGAGGUGGGAACCCUCACGGGUGCACCAUCGACCGAUCCUGAUGUCUUCGGAUGGAUUUGAGUAUGAGCAUAGCUGUUGGGACCCGAAAGAUGGUGAACUAUGCCUGAAUAGGGUGAAGCCAGAGGAAACUCUGGUGGAGGCUCGCAGCGGUUCUGACGUGCAAAUCGAUCGUCAAAUUUGGGUAUAGGGGCGAAAGACUAAUCGAACCAUC
rnacentral:rRNA from 1 species